UCAAGUUAUUAAGGGUGCAGGGUGGAUGCCUUGGCACUAGGAGCCGAUGAAGGACGUGAUAAGCUGCGAUAAGCUUCGGGGAGUUGCACGUAAACUUUGAUCCGAAGAUUUCCGAAUGAGGAAACUCACUUAGAGUAAUGUCUAAGUAUCAUUAAGUGAAUACAUAGCUUAAUGAGGGGAACUCAGGGAACUGAAACAUCUAAGUACCUGAAGGAAGAGAAAGAAAUUCGAUUCCGUAAGUAGCGGCGAGCGAACGCGGAUUAGCCCAAACCAAUAAAGUUUUCUUUAUUGGGGUUGCGGACAUAUCAUAACGAAGAGGUAUCGUAAUUGAAGAGGUUUGGAAAGACCCACCACAGAAGGUAAUAGUCCUGUAUGUUAAACGAGAAGACUUCAGAUAUGAUCCAGAGUACCACGGGACACGUGAAACCCUGUGGGAAGCAGGAGGGACCACCCUCCAAGGCUAAAUACUACCUAGUGACCGAUAGCGUAUAGUACCGUGAGGGAAAGGUGAAAAGAACCCCGGGAGGGGAGUGAAAUAGAACCUGAAACCCUGCACUUACAAGCUGUGGAAGCACAUUUCUUGUGUGACCGCGUACUUUUUGUAGAACGGGCCAACGAGUUACGUUAAGUAGCAAGGUUAAGCACUUAAGGUGCGGAGCCGUAGCGAAAGCGAGUUUUAACUGAGCGUUCAGUUACUUGACGUAGACCCGAAACCGGGCGACCUACCCAUGAGCAGGAUGAAGCGAAAGUAAAAUUUCGUGGAGGUCCGAACCCACGAGCGUUGAAAAGCUCGGGGAUGACUUGUGGGUAGCGGUGAAAUUCCAAUCGAGCCCGGAGAUAGCUGGUUCUCCCCGAAAUAGCUUUAGGGCUAGCCUCAAGGUGAGAGAUACGGAGGUAGAGCACUGAAUGUCCUAGGGGGUAUUGCACCUACCGAAGACUAUCAAACUCCGAAUGCCGUCAUCUUAUACUUGGGAGUCAGACUGUGGGUGAUAAGAUUCAUAGUCGAAAGGGCAACAGCCCAGAUCGUCAGCUAAGGUCCCUAAAUGUAAGUUAAGUGGUAAAGGAUGUGGGAUUGCACAGACAACCAGGAUGUUGGCUUAGAAGCAGCCACUCAUUCAAAGAGUGCGUAAUAGCUCACUGGUCGAGUGAUCCUGCGCCGAAGAUUUCCGGGGCUAAAACUUACUACCGAAGCUACGGCAUCAGUAAUGAUGGGUAGGGGAGCUUCCCAUACGGGUUGAAGCAUGACCGUAAGGACAUGUGGACAGUAUGGGAGUGAGAAUGUUGGCAUGAGUAGCGAGAUGUGGGUGAGAAUCCCACAGGCCGUAAACCCAAGGUUUCCAGGGGAAGGUUCGUCCGCCCUGGGUUAGUCGGGACCUAAGCUGAGGCCGAAAGGCGUAGGUGAUGGACAACAGGUUGAUAUUCCUGUACUACCGAUAACCGUUUGAGAGAAGGGAUGACACAGUAGGAUAAGCUAAGCACACUGUUGGUUAUGUGUGCCCAAGCAUUGAGGCAGUCAAAGUAGGCAAAUCCGCUUUGAUAAUGCUGGGAUGUGAUGGGGAGCGAAAUUUAGUAGCGAAGUAGCUGAUUUCACACUGUCAAGAAAAGUCUCUAUCGAGGUUAAAGGUACCCGUACCGCAAACCGACACAGGUGGGUGAGGAGAGUAUCCUAAGGCCAGCGAGAGAACUGUUGUUAAGGAACUCGGCAAAAUGACCCCGUAACUUAGGGAUAAGGGGUGCCACCAUCAGGUGGCCGCAGAGAAUAGGCCCAAGCGACUGUUUACCAAAAACAUAGGUUUCUGCUAAGUCGCAAGACGAUGUAUAGGAGCUGACGCCUGCCCGGUGCUGGAAGGUUAAGGGGAUCUGUUAGAGCAAUCGAAGCAGUGAACUUAAGCCCCAGUAAACGGCGGCCGUAACUAUAACGGUCCUAAGGUAGCGAAAUUCCUUGUCGGGUAAGUUCCGACCCGCACGAAAGGCGUAACGAUUUGGGCACUGUCUCAACAACAGACUCGGUGAAAUUGUAAUUCCGGUGAAGAUGCCGGAUACCUGCGACAGGACGGAAAGACCCCAUGGAGCUUUACUGUAGCUUGACAUUGGGUUUUGGUACUACAUGUACAGGAUAGGUGGGAGGCUUUGAAACCAGGACGCCAGUUUUGGCGGAGCCAUCCUUGGGAUACCACCCUUGUAGUACUGGGACUCUAACCAUAGGCCAUGAAUCUGGUCUUGGGACACUGUCAGGCGGGCAGUUUGACUGGGGCGGUCGCCUCCCAAAAGGUAACGGAGGCGCUCAAAGGUUCUCUCAGUACGGUCGGAAAUCGUACGUAGAGUGUAAAGGCAAAAGAGAGCUUGAUUGCAAGACAUACAGGUCGAGCAAGGAUGAAAAUCGGACUUAGUGAUCCGGUGGUUCUGCGUGGAAGGGCCAUCGCUCAACGGAUAAAAGCUACCCUGGGGAUAACAGGCUUAUCUCCCCCAAGAGUCCACAUCGACGGGGAGGUUUGGCACCUCGAUGUCGGCUCAUCACAUCCUGGGGCUGUAGUAGGUCCCAAGGGUUGGGCUGUUCGCCCAUUAAAGUGGUACGCGAGCUGGGUUCAGAACGUCGUGAGACAGUUCGGUCCCUAUCCGUCGCAGGCGUAGGAAAUUUGAGAAGACCUGUCCUUAGUACGAGAGGACCGGGAUGGACGUACCUCUGGUGUACCAGUUGUUCUGCCAAGGGCAUGGCUGGGUAGCUAUGUACGGAAUGGAUAAGCGCUGAAAGCAUCUAAGCGCGAAGCCAACUUCAAGAUAAGAUUUCCCACCGCAAGGGUAAGACCCCAGAAAGACUAUCUGGUUGAUAGGUCGAAGGUGUAAGUGCAGCAAUGUAUUUAGCUUAUCGAUACUAAUAGGUCGAGGACUUGACCAA
rnacentral:rRNA from 3 species